rnacentral:rRNA from 1 species
AGGACGAACGCUGGCGGCGUGCUUAACACAUGCAAGUCGAGCGGUAAGGCCUUUCGGGGUACACGAGCGGCGAACGGGUGAGUAACACGUGGGUGAUCUGCCCUGCACUCUGGGAUAAGCCUGGGAAACUGGGUCUAAUACCGGAUAUGACCUGCUCUCGCAUGGGGGUGGGUGGAAAGAUUUAUCGGUGCAGGAUGGGCCCGCGGCCUAUCAGCUUGUUGGUGGGGUAAUGGCCUACCAAGGCGACGACGGGUAGCCGACCUGAGAGGGUGACCGGCCACACUGGGACUGAGACACGGCCCAGACUCCUACGGGAGGCAGCAGUGGGGAAUAUUGCACAAUGGGCGAAAGCCUGAUGCAGCGACGCCGCGUGAGGGAUGAAGGCCUUCGGGUGUAAACCUCUUUCAGCAGGACGAAGCGCAAGUGACGGUACCUGCAGAAGAAGCACCGCUAACACGUGCCAGCAAGCCGAC